UACGUAGGUGACGAGCGUUAUCCGGAAUUAUUGGGCGUAAAGAGCUCGUAGGCGGUCUGUCACGUCGGAUGUGAAAAUCCAGGGCUUAACCCUGGACCUGCAUUCGAUACGGGCAGACUAGAGUUCGGUAGGGGAGACUGGAAUUCCUGGUGUAGCGGUGAAAUGCGCAGAUAUCAGGAGGAACACCGGUGGCGAAGGCGGGUCUCUGGGCCGAUACUGACGCUGAGGAGCGAAAGCGUGGGGAGCGAACAGG
rnacentral:rRNA from 1 species